rnacentral:rRNA from 1 species
UACGUAGGGUCCGAGCGUUGUCCGGAAUUACUGGGCGUAAAGAGCUCGUAGGUGGUUUGUCGCGUUGUUCGUGAAAACUCACAGCUCAACUGUGGGCGUGCGGACGAUACGGGCAGGCUGGAGUUCGGUAGGGGAGACUGGAAUUCCUGGUGUAGCGGUGAAAUGCGCAGAUAUCAGGAGGAACACCGGUGGCGAAGGCGGGUCUCUGGGCCGAUACUGACGCUGAAGCGCGACAGCGUGGGGAGCAAACAGG